rnacentral:misc_RNA from 1 species
UACGAGGCACCAAUAUUAGAGAAUGUAAAGUAUCUCUGUCCAUAGAAUAUCUUAUAACUUGUAUAGAUGGAGUGCUUCUCAAGAUUUCUUUCACAUCUUCCAUUUUUAUGGGAAAAUGGAUUGAAGCUUGUGCUUACCAGUCCAUUCUACAACCUUGUGCAAUUUUUUUCUUUUUCUCUCUAUGCAUCUAUUUACUCUCUUUAAAAAUGACCAGGAACCAUAAGUUAGUAGAUGGUCAUAUUAUUAAGUCAGCUAGUUUGUUCUAUAAACUUCUGUUUAGAUUUCGAGCACAAUCCUUGAGCUUACUCUGUUCUAACGGACAUCAUUUUCGUUGGCAGAAAGCAAUUAUUUUAGCUGGUUGUAUUAAUUUGCUUGUUUGCUGUUUUUUCUGUAUUGGUGAAGAGCGGUGCUAUGUUUUUUUAAGGACUGAUACCUGCAUCUGCAGUUUGUUAAGGGAUUAACAUCUGCUUGGCUUCUCUAUGGUGUUCUACUUUCUGGGAAUCUUUAUUGGAUAUCUUAGUGGAUAUUAAUUUGACUUCACCUUUUGUUUUUUUGCUAUUUAAAGUAUACUGGCUUUAUUUGUCUUUCUCAUAGUAUUUUUCUCAUCUUUUCUUUAAUAAAUUCUUUGUUUAUCAGAAAAGAAUUAAUUAAGAAUUUUAUUGUAUGCUAACAUGAAGCGAAGCAUGUAAUCAUGCAUUACCUUGAACCUGUUCUUAGAUCUUCUAUGUGCUUAAAGGGAGUAACUUCUCCCAUUAUAACAAAGAAGCUUGAGAAUUGCAUCCCUUGAGAAAAGCAUGAGAUUGGAGGCAAGAAAAAAUAUUCACCUUUGUAAAUUUUCUUGGUCUUAAAAGGAAAACAUAAAUGAUUAUCAAUUCAUAUUAUAAUUAGGCCCUAGAAAUUCUUUUCAAUACCUGCAAGGCUGCGUUAAAAGCAUCU